UGGGGAAUAUUGGACAAUGGGCGAAAGCCUGAUCCAGCAAUGCCGCGUGAGUGAUGAAGGCCUUAGGGUUGUAAAGCUCUUUUAAUAGGGAAGAUAAUGACGGUACCUAUAGAAAAAGCCCCGGCUAACUUCGUGCCAGCAGCCGCGGUAAUACGAAGGGGGCUAGCGUUGUUCGGAAUUACUGGGCGUAAAGAGCGCGUAGGCGGUAUGUAAAGUUGGAAGUGAAAUCCCGAGGCUUAACCUCGGAACUGCUUUCAAAACUUACAGACUAGAGAGCGAUAGAGGAUGGUGGAAUUCCUAGUGUAGAGGUGAAAUUCUUAGAUAUUAGGAGGAACACCGGUGGCGAAGGCGGCCAUCUGGGUCGUUUCUGACGCUGUGGCGCGAAAGCGUGGGGAGCAAACAGG
rnacentral:rRNA from 1 species